rnacentral:rRNA from 1 species
UACGUAGGGGGCAAGCGUUGUUCGGAUUUAUUGGGCGUAAAGCGCGUGUAGGCGGCCACGCAGGUCCGCUGUGAAAACUCGAGGCUCAACCUCGAGAUGUCGGUGGAAACCGCGUGGCUAGAGUCCGGAAGAGGAGAGUGGAAUUCCCGGUGUAGCGGUGAAAUGCGCAGAUAUCGGGAAGAACACCCAUGGCGAAGGCAGCUCUCUGGGACGGUACUGACGCUGAGACGCGAAAGCGUGGGGAGCGAACAGG